rnacentral:misc_RNA from 1 species
CUGUAUGCCCCUCCCCCACCUGCUGCGGACGGAAGUCAAGCUUCUUUCCAGAUACCUCCAUACGCCCCUCCUCCAUAUGCUCCACCUCCGUAUGGAGUACCUCCUUAUGCUGACGAUGCAAUGGUCAUGGAUGCAGCAAUGGCGAGGUUCGAGGGUAAAAUGGGGCAUCCAUUUAAGCGCCAUCAUUGGUGGCAAGUUGUUCACCAUGAGCCCAAGUGGUCAGCAAAGCAUGGUCUUGGUAGUGGAUCUUAUUCGACUGCGAAUAAUAGAACCCGACUCGGAGUCUCUGGUGAAUAUAGUUCUGGAGGACUGAAGACACCGAGGAGGAAGUGCCCCGACCAGUGGGGCGUGAUAGGGCAAAGGCGGCUGCGCCAAAGACAAAGACGAAGGGGAAAGGGAAGGAAGCCACGGGCAGCGAAUCAACAAGUGAAGCAUUCAAAAUGA